rnacentral:tRNA from 1 species
GCCCGGGUGGUGAAAUUGGUAGACACAAGGGACUUAAAAUCCCUCGCUUUUAACGGCGUGCCGGUUCGAUUCCGGCCCCGGGCACCA